GUCCGAGGCAAUAACAGG
rnacentral:misc_RNA from 1 species